AUGGCUUCCCUUACUAUGCUUGUCGGUUGGGCCAUCUGGAACGAGAGAAACGCUAGAGUUUUUAGGAAGAAAUCAACGCCCCCCUUCUACAUUCUAAAACUAAUCCAAGAUGAAGCAAAAGUUUGAGUCACGACAGGAACUAGGCACCUGAGCAUUAUCAUGCCGCGUUAUUUUCCUUUUGUUGACGGACGGGCUAUGUUGUGGAGCCACUGUUAUGUACUUUAA
rnacentral:rRNA from 1 species